UACGUAGGGUCCGAGCGUUGUCCGGAAUUACUGGGCGUAAAGAGCUCGUAGGUGGUUUGUCGCGUUGUUCGUGAAAACUCACAGCUCAACUGUGGGCGUGCGGGCGAUACGGGCAGACUUGAGUACUGCAGGGGAGACUGGAAUUCCUGGUGUAGCGGUGGAAUGCGCAGAUAUCAGGAGGAACACCGGUGGCGAAGGCGGGUCUCUGGGACGGUACUGACGCUGAGACGCGAAAGCGUGGGGAGCGAACAGG
rnacentral:rRNA from 1 species